UCCCGCCAGAUUUAUAUGCUUGUUUAAAUGAUUAAGCCAUGCAAAUGCAAGUAUGAACAAUUCGUAUUUGUUAGACUGUGGACAGCUUAUUAAAAAAGUUAUAAUUUAUUUGAACGUGGAAUCUUAAAACAGAUUCAAAGUUAUUAUGUGGAUAAUUGUGGGAAAGCUAGAAAUAAUACAUGCAAAAAGUUGAAAUCUUAGCAAUAAGAAAUCAAUGCAUUAACUGGCAUCAUUUCAAAAGGAAUACAAUUCUUUUUUAGAUGAAACACAGUUCACUAAAUAGCAAAGUGAGUAAUAUCACUGCUUCAUUCAAAUUUCUUAUCUAUCAACUUUCGAUGAUUGUAUAGAGAACAAUCAUGGUUUUAACGGGUGACAGAGAAUAAGGGUUUUAUUCUGGAGAGGGAGCCUAGAGAAAUUGCUACCAUUUCCAAGGAAAGCAGCAGGCACGAAAAUUACCCAAUAAAAAUACUUUGAGGUAGUAACAAAAAAUAACGACAACGUAAUUUACAUUUAAAAGUGUAAAUGUUGAUUGUAAUGAGUACAAUUUAAAAAAAUUAAUUAGAAUCAAUUAGAGGGAAAGUCUGGUGCCAGCAGCCGCGGUAAUUCCAGCUCUAAUAGCGUAUAUUUAAGUUGUUGUAUUUAAAAAGCUCGUAGUUGAAACUUGAAAAAAUAUAUUUGAUAAGAAGAAGUGGAAAAAUUCACUUUUUCUUUCAAUUUUUUCAUAUUGUGAAUAAAUAACUCUAAAUGGAGUUGAAAGACUUUAUUUGGUUAAGUUUUUAUUCAUUUUACCAUAAGUAAAAUAGAGUGUUUAAAGCAAGACGUUUGUCUAUUGAAUAAUAGAGUAUGGGAUAAUAAAAGAUGAAAGAGAGGAGAUGUAUUUCUCAAACAAAAGAUGUUAAAGUUUUUUGUUUGGUCUUCUCACUUUAAUGAUUAAUAGGGACUAUUGGGGCAAUUAAUAUUUCUACACGAGCGGUGAAAUGUUUAGACUGUAGAAAGAUUAACUAAUGCGAAAGCAUUUUGCAAAGGUGUUUUCAUUAAUCAAGAACGAAAGUUAAGGGAUUAAAGAUGAUCAGAUACCGUCGUAAUCUUAACUAUAAACAAUGUCGACAAAAGAUGGG
rnacentral:rRNA from 1 species